UUGGAUGAUGAGCGUUUACCGGUCUGAGCUGUGAUGAUAUCGGCACUGUCUGACUA
rnacentral:snoRNA from 1 species